AGCGGCGGACGGGUGAGUAAUGCCUAGGAAUCUGCCUGGUAGUGGGGGACAACGUUUCGAAAGGAACGCUAAUACCGCAUACGUCCUACGGGAGAAAGCAGGGGACCUUCGGGCCUUGCGCUAUCAGAUGAGCCUAGGUCGGAUUAGCUUGUUGGUGAGGUAAUGGCUCACCAAGGCGACGAUCCGUAACUGGUCUGAGAGGAUGAUCAGUCACACUGGAACUGAGACACGGUCCAGACUCCUACGGGAGGCAGCAGUGGGGAAUAUUGGACAAUGGGCGAAAGCCUGAUCCAGCCAUGCCGCGUGUGUGAAGAAGGUCUUCGGAUUGUAAAGCACUUUAAGUUGGGAGGAAGGGCAGCUAGCGAAUACCUGGUUGUUUUGACGUUACCGACAGAAUAAGCACCGGCUAACUCUGUGCCAGCAGCCGCGGUAAUACAGAGGGUGCAAGCGUUAAUCGGAAUUACUGGGCGUAAAGCGCGCGUAGGUGGUUUGUUAAGUUGGAUGUGAAAGCCCCGGGCUCAACCUGGGAACUGCAUCCAAAACUGGCAAGCUAGAGUAUGGUA
rnacentral:rRNA from 1 species